GUAGGUGGCAAGCGUUGUCCGGAAUUAUUGGGCGUAAAGCGCGCGCAGGCGGUUCUUUAAGUCUGAUGUGAAAGCCCACGGCUCAACCGUGGAGGGUCAUUGGAAACUGGAGAACUUGAGUACAGAAGAGGAAAGCGGAAUUCCACGUGUAGCGGAGAAAUGCGUAGAGAUGUGGAGGAACACCAGUGGCGAAGGCGGCUUUCUGGUCUGUAACUGACGCUGAGGCGCGAAAGCGUGGGGAGCAAACAGGAUUAGAUACCCUGGUAGUCCACGCCGUGAACGAUGAGUGCUAAGUGUUAGGGGGUUUCCGCCCCUUAGUGCUGCAGCUAACGCAUUAAGCACUCCGCCUGGGAGUACGGCCGCAAGGCUG
rnacentral:rRNA from 1 species